AGAACGAACGCUGGCGGCAGGCCUCAAACAUGCAAGUCUAGGGGGUGCAGCAAUGCAUCACCGGCGGACGGGUGCGUAACACGUGGGAAUAUACCUUUUGGUUCGGAACAACUGAGGGAAACUUCAGCUAAUACCGAAUGUGUCCUUACGGAGAAAGAUUUAUCGCCAAAAGGAUUAGCCCGCGUCCGAUUAGCUAGUUGGUGAGGUAAUGGCUCACCAAGGCUCCGAUCGGUAGCUGUUCUGAGAGGAAGAUCAGCCACACUGGGACUGAGACACGGCCCAGACUCCUACGGGAGGCAGCAGUUGGAAUCUUGGACAUGGGGGAAACCCUGAUCCAGCCAUGCCGCGUGAGUGAUGAAGGCCUUGGGUUGUAAACUCUUUCGACGGGACGAUAAUGACGGUACCGUAGAAGAAGCUCCGGCUAACUUCGUGCCAGCAGCCGC
rnacentral:rRNA from 1 species